AGGCCUGGCUGUGCCUGGCUCACUCUGAACCCUCGGCAGGAACUCUGGCUGCUCCCAUCUUGGCCAGAAGGCUCUAUCUGCCUUGGACAUGAUCCAGGCCCCAGAGUAAAGGAGUUUUGUUCGUGAAGCAGAGACCAGAUGUAGGCACACAGAGGGCUCUUUGCUUUGCAGUUGAAGCUUUUAAAGAUUUGUUUUCUUUCAAAAUCCUGCUGCAGGAAAGAGAAGCACCAGAUCAAACAUUCCUGAAACAUGGCUUUAAAGGAGCAAUUUGUUCAUUUCCGUCCCAUCCUGUUUCUGCUCACUGGGGUCUUGGGCAGUUGUCCUUGGGUUUUCGUGGAGGGUCCACACCCCUCCAGGCGCCCCAAGAGAUUUCCUCAGCACCAGAUCCAGCCUGAGGGCCUCUGGUCACAGCCAGGGCCAAGCUUGGUCCCAGGAGGGUCUGCACAUCCCCCUCAGUACGUGGAGGGACUUUUCCUCCAUCCUCAGCCCCACUGGCACUGUUAACUGUACCCCCUUUCUUGAAAACUCUCUUUCCUUGACCUCAGGUUGCAGACACACUUCUGGCUCUCCUCCUGUCUAGGACUCCUCUUCUCCCCUCCUCCUGUACCCAGGCCCCACCCUCGGGGCUUGUGCUCCUCUUGGAGAACUCGCUCAUCCCCUUAUGGGGCCCACCCACCCUCUGCCCCCAGGCCCCAGGUCCUCACAGCCUGAAUUUUCUUCCUUUUGCUUUACUAGGGUGUAAGUGACAAUGUUGUAAGACAUGGAAAGUAUACAGUGUGAGCUGUGCUAUAUGCAUGCACUGUGAAAGGCUCUCCCCCAUUCAGUUGGCCUUAAUGUUAUGUGAUUAAAUUAUUCCCUUGGCAUUUCCAAGUUCCACCACCGGACCUGUUUCCUCAUCUGUGAAAUAAGCACGUGGAACCAAAAGAUCUGUAGCUCUUUCUAGCUCUGGCGUUACCUGAGAACAUCUGGGAUGUGGGGGCUAUGGACAGUCUCACUGGCCUUGGGAGCUGCGCCCACCACCACUGUAGCCCCCUCUCCUGGAGGCCUCCACAGACGGGACAGCCUGACCAGCUGCCAUGCUCUGAUCUCAAAUUAGAAUCACACCUCACAUCUCUGUACACACACUUUGAUCAUGAAAGGCCUCCUCCCCCCGCAGUGGCAGCCUGGUGACCUGGAGCAAAGGGGAUGAAGACAGCUGCUGCCUCCACAGCCGCCAUGGCCCCGAGGCCUCAGCAGGAAGUGAGGGAGCUGCCAGGCCUGGAGGUGACAUGCAUUGGCUAUGUGUGCCCCAUGUGCCAGACACCGUGUGAGUCAUUCUGUAGGUGUUAGCCCAUUCAUGCCGCCGAAGCGCCCUGGCUGGGAAGUGUGGUUAUCACUUUCAUCUUGUGGAGGAGGAGGUGACGCCCGGCAAGAUGUGCAGGGCCCUGCACGCAGCUAACCUCCUAGUCACCCUGACUCCCCAGCAGUGGCAGACCCAGCACCUCUGGCAUCUUCCUGUGAAGGCUGGAACACUUGUUCUCAUAGGAAGCGGCCUCUUGAGUGGGAGAGCAUUUGGGGUCCCCCUCAGGCCCCUCUGGCUCCAGGGACCUUCUCCUUCCUUCCACACCUUCCCCAUCUGGUCUGCUAGCUCUCUUUUUCCCCCAGCCUGCUGCUUGCUGGGGGCUGCCCCGGCGCCUCUCCCAACCACCAUGUACCUCCUUUCCUCUUCUUUAAAUUCCAAAGUAGGAUGGCAGGGAAAUUCUGUCUGUUCUUCCAUCUGGCCUCAGAUUUCAGGCAGCCAUUCAAGAUAAAUUCAAGGUGAUUUCUUAUCAAAUGCUUUGCUUUUCUGUUUUGAUUACUGGCAUUACAAUAAUAUUUUUCUGAAGCUCACUGCACUAUUCAAGAAUUCUGGAGUAUUAUGGGUUAAUUGGCCCUCCUUGGA